rnacentral:rRNA from 1 species
GCGAGAAAACUUUGCAAUGUGCGAAAGCACGACAAGGUUAAUCCGAGUGGUUUCUGCUAAAGAAACCUUUUGUCAGUCCUAGAAACACUAACGAAUAAGGGGUGGGCAAGUUCUGGUGUCAGCCGCCGCGGUAAAACCAGCACCUCAAGUGGUCAGGAUGAUUAUUGGGCCUAAAGCAUCCGUAGCUCGUUUUGUAAGUUUUCGGUUAAAUCCAUGCGCUUAACGUAUGGGCUGCCGGGAAUACUGCAUAACUAGGAAGUGGGAGAGGUAGACGGUACUCGGUAGGAAGGGGUAAAAUCCUUUGAUCUAUUGAUGACCACCUGUGGCGAAGGCGGUCUACCAGAACACGUUCGACGGUGAGGGAUGAAAGCUGGGGGAGCAAACCGGAUUAGAUACCCAGGUAGUCCCUGAGCGGGCUGGCAAGGCGCAU